CCCUUAGAUGUUCUGGGCCGCACGCGUGCUACACUGAGUAAUUCAAUGGGUAAGGGAACGCUAGAGCAUUACCUAAUCUUGAAAUUUGCUCGUGAUGGGGAUCGACGGUUGCAAUUUUCCGUCGUGAACGAGGAAUACCUUGUAGGCGCAUGUCAUCAUCAUGCGCCGAAUACGUCCCUGCCCUUUGUACACACCGCCCGUCGCUCCUACCGAUUGAAUGAUCCGAUGAAUAUCAUGGAUUGAGGAUUAUAGCAGGUUCGCCUGUCUUGAUCUUCGAGAAGUGAAGUAAAUCUUAUCAUUUAGAGGAAGGAGAAGUCGUAACA
rnacentral:rRNA from 1 species